rnacentral:rRNA from 1 species
CCUACGGGAGGCAGCAGUGGGGAAUAUUGGGCAAUGGGCGCAAGCCUGAUCCAGCAAUGCCGCGUGUGUGAAGAAGGCCUUCGGGUUGUAAAGCACUUUUAUCAGGAACGAAAUACCACGGGUUAAUAACCUAUGGGGCUGACGGUACCUGAGGAAUAAGCACCGGCUAACUUCGUGCCAGCAGCCGCGGUAAUACGAAGGGUGCAAGCGUUAAUCGGAAGUACCGGGCGUGGUGGGUGCGGAGGCUGGUGAAAUCCCCGGGCUCAACCUGGGAAUGGCGAUGGAUACUGGGCAGCUAGAGUGUGUCAGAGGAUGGUGGAAUUCCCGGUGUAGCGGUGAAAUGCGUAGAGAUCGGGAGGAACAUCAGUGGCGAAGGCGGCCAUCUGGGACAACACUGACGCUGAAGCACGAAAGCGUGGGGAGCAAACAGGAUUAGAUACCCGUGUAGUC